rnacentral:misc_RNA from 1 species
UUUCUAUCCAUGGACACUAUUGCAGAUGUUCCAUAACCAGAAAUUUGUGAAGAAGCGGAUGUUUGAGAACCAAGUGAAAAGUGCGAACUCCUCUCUCGAACAGAAGGUGAAGCAUGCCGUCUGUGAGUUCCACCAUCUUCCUCAUUUAUGAUCCUUUGGAUAACAGGAUCAAAGGACAUAAACAAACGCCUGGAUCGUUCUGGCCAAGUUCUUGCAAACAUUCUGUACAAAGUUCUUGCAGUUGAUCGUACCUCACUCAUUGCAUCGCCUACACAACACUUUAUAAGGUCCUCAUAGAGUUCUGCUGAACGGUGUAUCUCAGAUGCAUCAGGCCAAUGUUCCAGGAUUAAAAGUGCGUACUCACAGCAUCUUGCACGAAGAACUGCAUUUCGAUCGUUCUUUGCACAAUCAGCAAUUCGAGGAAGUGCACGAGCAACUUUGCAGUUGCGCAACAUCGUCUUUAUGCAGUUAUCAGCAGAUUCUGCAAUCACAAGAACAGUUAUCACAACAAGCUUGAAAAGAACAGGAAUGAACAUCUCAGCACAUGCCUCAAAAUCUCCCAAAAGCUCUUUGGAUAAGAAGUUUAAUAGAUGGCAAGCCUGUUUGACAAUGGUGGAUCUCCGAUCAGAUAACUGUGUACUCAAAGGGACAACAAGUUGCUUUAGAAGUCCACGA